CGCCAUUUUUAAUUCGAGGAGCUGAUUACGCCGAUGCCGUGCCGUGUGUCCCAUUGUAAGAGACGAUAGUGUUGAAUUGGGUAUGUUGGUCUGAAUCAGACCCCAUGGUGACAAUUUUAAACAACGCACAUAUUUGUCAAUUACUAAGUUUUUUUUUAUAAAUAAAUUGUGGCCAAAGUCAAUUACGAAGUUACUGGGGCUGGCAAUGCACGCAAAACAAGGCGGCUACACAUUCCAAUUGACAUGGAGGAUAUAUUCAAAUAAAUAUUCAAUGUAGUCGGCCAGACGAAAGUAUCGCCCCACGUCAUAAUCUCAUCGCCAAGCACCAUGUUGUUUGUUUUGGGCAGAGCCCGUUCAGUUUGGGAGGUAGAUUUGAUGGGCUAAUUUUGUUGACCCACUUCUUUUUGGGCUGUUUUACAUAACAAAGCCCGCCCUUUUCAUUGAACUGAACAGACUAGCCAUUUUUUUCAAAAAAGGAGAUUUGGCCCAAUUGAUGGCUCUAA